UACGGAGGUUCCAAGCGUUGUUCGGAAUUACUGGGCGUAAAGGGGGCGCAGGCGGCCAGGUCAGUCCAAAGUGGAAGCCCGGGGCUCAACCUCGGAAAGCCUUUGGAUACUGCUUGGCUUGAGUACGUGAGAGGAAGGCGGAAUUCAGGGUGUAGCGGUGAAAUGCUUAGAUAUCCUGAGGAACACCAAUGGCGAAAGCAGCCUUCUGGCACGAAACUGACGCUGAGGCCCGAAAGCGUGGGGAGCGAACAGG
rnacentral:rRNA from 1 species